rnacentral:sRNA from 1 species
GCAACCCCUACCCUUAAUUGCCAUCGGGUUAUGCCGGGCACUUUAGGGGGACUGCCGGUGACAAGCCGGAGGAGGGUGGGGAUGACGUCAAGUCCUCAUGGCCUUUAUGACCAGGGCUACACACGUGUUACAAUGGGAGUUACAGAGGGAAGCUAACCGCGAGGUCAUGCCAAUCCCAGAAAAACUUUCUCAGUUCGGAUCGCAGUCUGCAACUCGACUGCGUGAAGCUGGAAUCGCUAGUAAUCGCGGAUCAGCGCGCCGCGGUGAAUACGUUCCCGGGCCUUGUACACACCGCCCGUCACACCAUGGGAGCCGACAAGGGCAGAAGUCGCCGAGCUAACCUUCGGGAAGCAGGCGCCCAAGCUGUUGUUGACGACUGGGGUGAAGUCGUAACAAGGUAGCCGUAGGAGAACCUGCGGCUGGAUCACCUCCUUUCUAAGGACGCCGGAGAUGCUUUAUGCUUAUCCCCGGAUAGUCAAAGUCGAAACAGACUCUCUUCUCUUCUCUCCCUUUUCUCCUGUAAAUGCUAAGUUAUGAAUUUAGAGCAACGAAGGAAUUGAAUUCGUUACUGUGGACUCAUAAUUUCAAGAGGGGCCUGUAGCUCAGCUUGGUUAGAGCGCAUCCCUGAUAAGGAUGAGGCCGGUGGUUCAAGUCCACCCAGGCCCACCAGCUCAUUUUUGAUUUAGAUAUGGAUUUGGAUUUAGCGGCUAUGAUGGUGGCAAAUCUGAGGUCUGGUAAUCCAAAUUCAGAUAUUAAAGAUCGGGGGAUUAGCUCAGCUGGUAGAGCGCCUGCUUUGCAAGCAGGAGGUCAGCGGUUCGACCCCGCUAUCCUCCACCAAAUUAAUGAACAGUAAAAAAAGGUGGUGCAGCUUAAGCAGAAGAUAAGCUUCAGCAAUUAUUUAAUAAUUUCUGAAUUUUAUUUUUUAAUAUCUUAGACAAUUAAAUCGGAGGUUUUGGAGACACAAGAUCAAAUGUGAGGGUCUCCAAGGGUUGACGAUCUUGACUGUUAAAGUCAGGUAGUAAGGGCGCAGGGCGGAUGCCUUGGCUCUGGGAAGCGAAGAAGGACGUGGCCAGCUGCGAUAAGCCUCGGG